rnacentral:tRNA from 15 species
GGCCCCUUGGUCAAGUGGUUAAGACACCACCCUUUCACGGUGGUAACAGCAGUUCAAGUCUGCUAGGGGUCACCA